AGUAAUGUCUGGGAAACUGCCUGAUGGAGGGGGGUAACUACUGGAAACGGUAGCUAAUACCGCAUAACGUCGCAAGACCAAAGUGGGGGGACCUUCGGGCCUCAUGCCAUCAGAUGUGCCCAGAUGGGAUUAGCUAGUAGGUGGGGUAACGGCUCACCUAGGCGACGAUCCCUAGCUGGUCUGAGAGGAUGACCAGCCACACUGGAACUGAGACACGGUCCAG
rnacentral:rRNA from 1 species